UAACAGUAAAAGUACAGAAGCGUAAUUGUAUUUCUUCAAAAAGAGAAGGGCGGGCAAAACGGACCACCCCAAAAAUUUAUUUUUCCAAAAUUGUAUCCCUCACUUACGACUCUUAUCAUUAUUUUUGCCUGGGAAUUCAAAAUUAACGCGUAUUUUUUAAAAUAAUUACGCAAUAACAAAAAUUGCAAUCAGUAACUACUCAUUUUUAUUUAUUACUUGCAACGAGUCAUAUCAUCGCACAUAUAUGGGCUUUAGUUUAUCAUAACAAAAUAAAACUUACCGGCUGUUAUCACGUAUUUUUACGAACUUGAGGAACUAUUAUUUAGUUUAUCGUAAUACUAGUAAAAAAAAAGUUUAGAAAACAAAGUAAAACUCGCCAAUGCUUAUCACCAUCUACGUAAGAUAUGAUGGAUUGAAACCUCGUACGAAAUGCCGAAACGAUUUUUAUUACACAAAAAAUUUUGUGUCCAUGGGAUUUAUUUCCAGCAGAAACUGAAUAGAAAAAACCCGGGAAUGAAUACUUUGGAUCUAAUGAGGUUUAAUUUAGAAGGAUUUCUAAUUAUUGUUUUUUUUUUUUUUAAUUAUCAAAAACCUGUUAUCGAAUAUAAUUAAAAAACAUUAUUUUGUUUUCUCUAAAUUUCCUGAGAUGUUCAUAAUAUCGGGUAUGCGCCGGAUGUUUGCGCGUCUGAAAUAUGAUUCUUGGGAUUUACAUUUGAAUAAAGUCUCUAUUGAAGAAACAGCGGGAAUCACUCGCGAACGGGUAUAUAAACCCGGACGGUCGUCCUCAGAGCAUAUUACUUCUGAGUAAGCAACCACGGAAGCAUCUGCUACCAAGUUUUUAAAAUCUUUUUAAACUUAAAGUUAUAAAACCAAAAC